rnacentral:rRNA from 1 species
GACGAACGCUGGCGGCGUGCUUAACACAUGCAAGUCGAACGAAGAGCGACGGAAGCUUGCUUCUAUCAAUCUUAGUGGCGAACGGGUGAGUAACGCGUAAUCAACCUGCCCUUCAGAGGGGGACAACAGUUGGAAACGACUGCUAAUACCGCAUACGAUCUAAUCUCGGCAUCGAGGAUGGAUGAAAGGUGGCCUCUACAUGUAAGCUAUCACUGAAGGAGGGGAUUGCGUCUGAUUAGCUAGUUGGAGGGGUAACGGCCCACCAAGGCGAUGAUCAGUAGCAGGUCUGAGAGGAUGAACGGCCACAUUGGGACUGAGACACGGCCCAGACUCAUACGGGAGGCAGCAGUGGGGAAUCUUGCGCAAUGGACGAAAGUCUGACGGAGCAACGCCGCGUGAGGGAUGACGGACUUCGGGUUGUAAAGCUCGGUUAAUCGGGACGAAAGGCCUUCUUGCGAAUAGUGAGAAGGAUUGACGGUACCGGAAUAGAAAGCCACGGCUAACUACGUG